GGGCAGAUGAAUACAGAGAGGCACCUGAUAGAUUCAAACCUUGCAAUCAACAUGGAUUCCACGUUUGGCUGAAAAUAUUUUCAUCUAAAUAAGCAUUAUGCGAACAAUCACAGUUGUGACUGUUGUCUCAUAUUCCCUGCAUGUGGUAGAGCCAUGUAACAACAGCAGCAGCAUCAACAGCAGUAGCAUCGAUGGUGGUAGCAAUGUUAGUAGAAGUGGCAGCAGCAACAGUGUCAGUAAUGUCAGCAGCUGCAGCAUCAGAAACAACAUCAGCAACAACAACCGUACAGUAGAAAAUGUUCACAGCAGCAGCAGCAGCAACAACAGUGGCAGUAAUGUCGGCAACGUCAGUAGCAGCAGCAGCAACAGUAGCAACAGAGGCAGCGAUUGCAAGAGGUAGACAGCAAUACCAAGCAGCAUCAGUGUUGAUGCUAGUGCUGGUACUAGCACCAAUAAGACAAAAGUGGCAGCUAAUACCUAUAGCAGCAACACUAGUAGUACAAUGAUAGAUAUCUCAUUAAUAUCUAAUGCAAUAAAACUGAACCACUACAAAGUAUACUUUUCCUAGGAUACUGUAACUUCCAGAUGAUCAGCUCUUUUGACAACCCAGAAAUGAUGACCAAGUCAAGCUGGUGUUCUGAAUUUACAACAGGUGAAAACUACAGGAUACACUGUACCUGAUAUGCUGGGUGUUAUGUUCUGUGAAUUACAGAAUUCCAAGACUGAAGAUAAUAUUUUGUUCAACAGUAGUUUGAAAG
rnacentral:lncRNA from 1 species